GGAAGUUAGGAUCGGCUUCCCCGCCUUCCCUCCAGACUGCCUGUCUCUCCAGAAGGAAGCUUGUGUGAGGACGUGGAGCUGUAGGAGCCCUCAGCUGGGCCUCUGCUUUCUUCUCUGAGAAGCCCAGCCUGGCCCCAGGAGAAGGAGCUGGAAAACUUCAGGCCUGGCUUGGGCUGCCAUGAGGAAAGUGGAUAAGGCUGCAGCCCGGAUUGUUUCCUGGAGACGACGAUCGUGGAGAUGGUUAUGCCUGACCUUUGUACAGCACUUCACAGUUGGCACAGAGUUUCCGCAUGUGCCGUACCGUCACAACGCUGUGUUUUGGGAAGCACAGAGCACCUGCCACGUGUCAGGGAGCUCACCACUGCCGAGAGGAGGAGACCCCACAAAUGCAGGCCACUGCAGUUCAGUGGACGAGAGGCAUGAUCAGGAACAGGCUGCUCCAGCAGCAUCAAGUUACUCUGCCAAUAACCUCCCAGAGGGAGUGACUCAGCAGCUGACCAAAAAGAUAAGUCGGAGGGACACAGGCAAAGGGAGCAAGAGGACAGGGCUCGGGCUCGAGGACGCCUCACCUGCAAAGACCACGAUGCAAAGAGCCAUGCAAAGGGCUUGCAGCGAGGCCUCCCCAUGGCAGCAGCUGAAGCCAGCGUGCAGAUUUUCCAACACGAGCAGAGUUAGCUUCCUCACAUCCCAUCGGAGACAUCAGCGCCAGCCCAGCAGGGCCCCCUCCUCAGCGGUCUGCCC
rnacentral:lncRNA from 1 species